UUUUAGUUUGUAUUUUUUAAGGUGACCAUUGUUCUACUGAAUCAAGAUUUUUGCAGCAAGAAAAGUUUGCAAAUGAUCAACGGCAAAUUGGAUAAUGUCAUGAGAAAGUUGGAUACUAUCUUAGCUUUCCACGAUGAGGAAAUGCCGUUAGCGCAUUCUUCUCCGGAUUUGUUACCUCUAUUUCCAUUAAAAUCUAAGGCAGAUGGAAAAAGAUGAGGAUUUACAAAAACAAUUUCAAAAAAGAAUUCGCAGUAUGGACGGCAAAUCGGCAGAAAAUCACCUUCGCAACUGUUUAGUUACAACUCUAAGUAAUGAGCUAGCGAAAUAGUUAACCUGGGAAGGCCAGCAUCAGACGGUGGGAAUAAAAAGCACUGUCUUUGCGAAUAUUAUCAUAGACGCUAUUCUAAACAUGUACAGUAAAAGUGACAUGUACAGUUUAAAGGCGAAAUUCUGCGAAUGGUUAAGAAGAGGAAGCGAUAGACAUCGUUAUGAAUUAAAGAAGUUUCUAUAAUACAACUAUUUCUUGCUUGGAGUUUUAAGAUGGAAAGCUGCAGCCCUAAUAUAACAAUGAACGAGAGAAAAACGCAGAAUUAUAAUGAAUAUGAAAAAAAGGGACCUUUUCAUCAUAAGGGACAUUGACGAAAAAGGAGGAAUAUUGAUAUAGUAUGUAUAUAUGUAUAUACAAAGAAGCACACAGUCACACGUACAAUAGGCCGAUUUUUUGCUAGUUUUUCGAAAGGAAAACGCCUUUUCAAUUCCUU